rnacentral:snoRNA from 1 species
AUGCAUCUGACAGACAUGCAGCUGUUACUGUCUGCUGCUAUGGUUUCCAUUAGAGAUGCAAGGGGGGAAAAAAAAAAAGCAUCCUCACACUUUCUUUCUGAUUGUGGCAGCCAAGACUGAAUGGUAGAAUAGAGGA